GACUUGGCGGGGUGGUCUGCCGAUUGGUAUGAACUGUCCAGCUGGGUCUUUCCUUCUGGGGAGCCAGUGUGCUCUUAACUGGGUGCGCUGGGGAUCCAGAACUUUUACUUUGAAAAAAUUAGAGUGUUUAAAGCAGGCCUACGCUUGAAUACAUUAGCAUGGAAUAAUAGAAUAGGACUU
rnacentral:rRNA from 1 species